rnacentral:tRNA from 1 species
GCUGUGGCUCAGUGGUAGAGCCUCUGCUUUGCAUGCAGAAGGCGACAGGUUCAAUCCCUGACAUCUCCA